ACGGAAAGUUCCAGCUGCAGAUUUAAGACACAUUGAAGUGUUGAGUGACACUCAGAUGGAAUCUACAGCAACAUUAGACUACAGUCUGUGAUGAUAUCCGAUUCUAUGAGACCUGAGUCUGUUUGUUAAAAUGGUGGCAAACGACCAUAUCAUAAGGCGAAGUACUGAGAACUGCACAGACUAAAUGGAUUACUUUAGGAAUCAAGAAGACAACAUUUUGACAAUGCAUAAAAGAUUCUACGCAAAUAAUUUUUAUCAAACUGUCCUUGAAAAUACAUCGUUUUUAUUUAAUUUUACUUUUCUGCAAAUUCUUCUCCAUAAUUAAAAUAAACGUUAAAAUUGA